GUUGGGAUAACACUAUGCAUUAAGAAAAUAUAGAGGGUUGGGCUGGGGCUGGGGCUCGGUGGUAGCGCACUUGCCUGGGCAUGUGUGAAGCACUGGGUUGGAUUCUCAGCUCCACAUAUAAAUAAAUAAAAUCAAGGUUUAUCAACAACUAAAAAAAAUGAAAAUAUAGAGGCUAGAUUUUGCUGGGAACUCUUCUGGAUAACAAACACUGGAUAAUUACAAAGAGAAACAUAAAAAAGAUUUGAUGAGUAGGAGGUGAUGAUACAUUUAUGCAUGAGUCCAUCCUGGUCUUUUAAAAAUUUUGACCUAUUGUAUAUAUAUUGUAUAUAUAAAACUCGUUUGUUGUACUUAGAAGUUUUUGAAUUGUCAGAAUCUCCAGAUAUUUCCUAACAUAAAAUCUUUACAGUAUCUAUCAUGUAAUGCUAAGACUAAAGCUUAUUUUGAGUGGUUUCAACCCACCAGAAAGAGAAUGGGUAAAACAAUAAAUACCAAAAUAAAUACCUAAUGUUAAAUAUCAAGUAUGUACUGCAUACUAGAAUUCUCUAGGGGUGCAAAGUAUAAAAGAACAAACAAAUAUAGCCUCUGUUACACACACACACGCACACACAUUUUCUUUGUUUAAAUAUGGGGAAUAGUGGUUUGAACCAAGAUCUCCCUUUUGGGUUACAUUGGCUUUGUAAUUGGUUUUCUCCAGAAGAAAAGUCAAUAUAGUAUGCUGACAACAGAUUAAUACACUAAGUUAACUGUCCUUUAGGUUCCUUCAAAUAUCCAUUGUUAUAAUAACAAUCUCAUGUUAAAAUAGAGUAAACUGAAAAUAACCCUAUCCUGACAAAUAAUUUCUGAAGGAUGGCCUGAAACAAUUCAAAGUCAAUUGAAACAAAGAUAGAUGAUCAGUGGAGAAAUCCAGUAUUUGGAAGGAAGAGGAGGAGGAGAAAGAGAAAGAGGAGGAGGUGGUGGUGGAAGAAGAGGAAGAGGACUGAAAAGCAUUUAAUAGCAAAUACUAAUGGUGAGAUGAAGAGUGGUUGUUUUCAGUCAAAUUUAUCUAAUUGAAAUGGCUUUCUAAUUUCAAUUUAAGUCAUAUCUGAAACAAGUUAAAUUCUACCCUGCAUUGUGUCAGAUCAUAAUGGCAUGACAUUACAAAUCAAUGAUGGAAUAAAAAAUAAAAGCUACUCAACACCUGGAGACUAAAUAAUAUGCUACUGAAUGAACAAUGGGUUGCAAAAGUCAUCAAGGGGAUUAAAAAAAUUGUUAGAGGUGAAUGAGAACACAGAUACAAUGUAUCAAAGUCUCUAGGACAGUAUGAAGGCAGUACUAAGAGGAAAGUUCAUUGCUUGAAGUUCAUUCCUUAAAAUAAAAAAAAAAAGUCAACAAACAAAUGACUUGCCACUACAUCUAAAAGUCCUAGAAAAAGAAGAACAAAUCAACACCAAAAGCAGUAGAAGACAGGAAAUAAUUAAAAUCAGAGCUGAAAUCAACGAAAUUAAAACAAAGGAAACAUUGAAAAAAACUGACAAAACAAAAAGUUGGUUCUUUGAAAAAAUAAAAUUGACAAACCCUUAGCCAUGCUAACAAAGAGGAGAAAGAAAACUCAAAUUACCAGCAUACAUGAUGAAAAAGGUAAUAUCACAACAGACACUACAGAAAUAAAAAAUCUCUUAUCAUAAUACCUGUGUUCCAAAUAUAUACUCUAUUAAGAAUUCCUGUUCAUAUUCAACUUGAUGUCUCUGUCCUUCUCAUGAACUCUUCUUGACUUUAGGCAGAAUUUCUUACUCUGUCUUCCUUUCAAAAAUAGUCAUGAAGACUGCAUUUAGGUAUUUUGUUGUACUUUAAUUGUAUAAAUUCCUUAACAAAUAAUUACUUCCUUGAAAACAAAGCUGACAUCAUUUUUUGAAGAUUCAUCCCUGAGAUCAGUAUCUUUCACACAUUGGACACACGUAUAUACACAAACAGACACACAUAUGUGUAUAUACUUUCAUAAAAAAAUAUCUGUCUUGUGACGGAUUUUGUGUGUAUGUGUGUGUGUGUUUGUGUGUGUGUUAUUACUUUGGUUAAGUAGAGGAUCUUUCUAAGCAAUUGUAAAGUCAAGGUAUGAUUUUUAUCUUAUUUGUUGUUUUCCUAAUUUCUUUUUCUCUUACUAUUAGAACUCAUAUAAAAUACAAAGAGGCUGUUCAUCUAUCUAUUCAAACAUGUUGGAAAUUUUGCUGUGUCUAUUGACUGGUAGUGCUACUACUGAUAGAUUCCAAAUUCUAAGAGGCAUCAUAGAUUUUCCUGAUACUGUGGGAAAAAAAAAUCCCAAGAUGAUUAUAACCUAGAAACAGCCUCUCAUUCAUUCUGAACUGACUUCUAUUUUCUUUGAACCCAUUAUCUUCCAUUCUCAAAACAGUUCAAACUCGAAAAAAAAAUGAUUAAUAUUUUUGAAUUUCAUUUCCUUAACCUAAUAAUAUGCCUUAAUUACUACUGAUGUAUGAUAUACAAAUAUGGAAAGUGAUGUAAUAUCUAGUAUUUAAAGAAUGACUUUGGGGCUGGAGCUCAAUGGCAGAGUGCUUGCCUAGCAUGUGUGAGGCACUGGGUUUGAUACUUAGCACUACAUAAAAAUAAAACAAAUAAGAUAGAAGCAUGCUGUCCAUGUACAACUACAAAAAAUUUUUUUAAAAAAGACUUUGAUAUUUGCCUUCACUUGAAUUCUUACAUUGCAGUUUGUUUCACAAUCAUAAAAGUCAAUUAAAUAAGCGAUCAACUUUGUUUCCUUGCCUAUUUCUUAAUGUCCUAAAAUGAAUUUGGAUACCCCCAAAUAUUAUCACAUAAUUAAUUUAAUGCCUUAAGACCUAUCAAGGAAAUUCUUAUUAUAGUAAAAGAAGUCUGACGAAAGAAUGUUAAAGCAUACUUCUAUGGGGAGGGGCAGGGAAGAGAGAGGAGAGAUUGAUUUUUUUUCCAUUUGAAAACUGUCCCACAGCAGAGGUUUAGAACUUUAAGCUGAGAUCAAGCCAUGGCACCCUUUGCAUGUUAUCGGUCAUUUAUACUAGGUUUGAAUGACCCACUUUCUUUUUCUAGAUGCACUAAAAGUGAGUAGAAAAUACGUGAGAAGUUAUUUUCAUCAGAAGGGAUGCUUGGCAUUGAAUUUAUUUUGAAUUUACAAGAAAUCACUUCUUUAUCUAAUGGACCCUUUAGACACCUGCUUUUCUCUUUCCUUGAAGUAACUGAAACACCAAUAUAGUUUUCGUCAGACACAACAUCUUUGUUUGUAUGUGGUGCUGAGGAUCGAACCCGGGCCGCACGCAAGCCAGGCAAGCGCGCUACCGCUUGAGCCAAAUCCCCAGCCCCGAAAAGGAACUGGGCCAUGGGAGCAUAUUAUAAAUCAUUUUCCAGCAACAGAAAAAAAAAAAAACCCAAUAAUUUAGACCAAAACUUUGUUUUUAUGUCCAGUAUGCAUGCUGUUCCAGUACCACUUUGGCUAAUUCCCAACCUUUCAAGGAGAAAAAUGUAUCCAUGGAUGGUAAUUGAGUAGACUGAAAGAUAUUGUAAAUGUUAAUUUAAACAUCCAGGGAGGACUCCCUCCGAAGAACAGAGCUCAUCCCUGGAAAGAAGAUUGAACUAAGGUCAUACUUAUCACAUGAAGAAGACAGAUGAUGGUAGAUAAUCCAGGUUUGCAGUUUUGACUAAGAAUAUCAGCAUCUUUAUGGGUCCUGGAGUCAAAUGCCAUCGUCAGGCUUUCCAGGUUUCCAAAUAACCAAAGAAGACUGUGAAUGGGGGUGCCAAGAAUCGGGGAAAUGAAUGAACUUUCUGAAGUGUGACUACCAUAUGAUCUAAUCCUAUUUGGUUGAAAACUAUUUCUAUAGGCCAACUACAGUAACUUACAUAAUAAAACUAACAGCUUUCUCAUCCAGGCUGCUUCAAGAACCAACCUUAUUAUGAAUGUCAUAUGCUCCACCAAAUCUCAAUUGGUUUCCUGUAUGUUUAUAUUUGUCUUAAGAUCACCUCAACUAGGCUGUACAAACUUAUACUCUCCUGGAACUUGUUCCUCCUUCUGUUAUAAAAUUACACAAAAACUAUAUUUUCUGGCACUUUGAGGAAGAACUUAGCCGAAACCUUCCAAUAAGCCUGAACCUUAAACUGUGUAUGAGUCAGGGUAAGAAUUCUAAUGGAGGCUUUUGAAUCCCUUGUCCCAGAAGUUAAAUGUCAUAAAUCAAGCCUAUCUAUUACCUACAUACAUUCUCAUAGAGAGUCCUUAAAAUUGUUCCCUCGGACUACUGUUCUAAUCCAGAGGCAUAAGCCUACCUGCUAUCUGCUGGAAUAUCCUUUGGCCCACCGUCUGAGUGUUGGCAGAUGUUGACUAUAGUAGGGCAGAACCUGGGCCUGCUCCCAGGAAUCCUGGGUAAGCACUGUAUCUUUCUGAAUGCAAGAUACAGUUGUUCCUGUCAAACUACCCACAGGGGCAGGGCUGUUUCUAAGUCUUUCUUUAAUAACUUUGCAUUUCUAUGCAAUUAUAAGUGUUUUCCAAAUUUAUUUACUCCAAAGAACAAAACUGUACAGUUAUUUGAGGAAGAUGGUCUGUGGAGACCUCCACUUUGGAAGGUUUGUAGGUGCAUGAUUUUUUUUUUUUUUUUUUUUAAGCAACUUCUUGUCCGUUUCCCACAGGGGAAACAUGCCUUGUACUUCACCAGUUGUGAUAUGCAGGGCACUCUCAAUCCUUUCUGUUCAGUAUUUUCUACAGAGCAACCAAAUCAACUUUCCCUGGGAGACUGAUAGAAAUGUGCUGUUGCAGAUGGGCCCUAACAAGAUCCCCAGGUGAUUUGUAUUCACAUCCAAAUUUGGGAAACUGCUCUAAAGGCAGAGCACAACCUACAGAAGGGCUUCCACAGCUGGAGUCUAAAUGCAGUACCCACUUCCACUCCACUAUUCUCUCACAUACCACAUAUAAAUUAUUCACAAAUGGGAAAAAAUAUUCAUUUCGCUCCACUCACAGAACAUGUAUGUAUGAGGCAUGGAAACCCCAAGGCAUACUCCCUGCAUAUGGUUCACUUAUUAAACAUUAAAAGAACAUUGAAAGAA